rnacentral:misc_RNA from 1 species
GAUGAAGAACGUAGCGAAAUGCGAUAAGUAAAGUGAAUUGCAGAAUUCAGUGAAUCAUCGAAUCUUUGAACGCACCUUGCGCUCCUUGGUAUUCCGAGGAGCAUGCCUGUUUGAGUGUCAUUAAAUUCUCAACCUUUCCAGCUUUUGCGAGUUUGGAUUGGCUUGGAUGUGGAGGUUUGCAGGCUUCUCAGAAGUCAGCUCCUCUUAAAUGCAUUAGCGGAACCUUUGUGGACCAGCUUUGGUGUGAUAAUUAUCUAUGCCAUGGUUGUGAAGCAGUUUUUAUAUGGGGUUCAGCUUCUAACAGUCCAUUGACUUGGACAAUUUCUGACAUUUUGACCUCAAAUCAGGUAGGACUACCCGCUGAACUUAAGCAUAUCAAUAAGCGGAGGA